rnacentral:misc_RNA from 1 species
CAACUUCCACCUGGCNUUACCUCCNUCAGUUAUGCGUCAUGACUUGUAUCGUCUUGAGCAUGUUGUGGGUUUCCUGUGUUGCAUACCUAACUAAUGGAAUUGUUUCGGUUGAUCGAAGUCCCUUUUCAUCAUGUGUUGCAUUUGCGACGCAUGAUGAACCUCGAAGCGGUCUCUAUGUUCCACCAUGUUGAUGCUAUUGUGUUUAUGUUGUGGCCCAUUGAGUGUUGCUUGGUUUCGUGGAUACAGAACAUGAUUUGGGCAUAGGGUCACUCGUGAUUCUUGUUUUGUCCUUUAUCAGUGUUCUUUAUAACGACGGUUCAUGCGCGCCUAGGCUCGUACCUGCGCGAUGUUCUUUGUCGAAGAGGAAUGCUACCUGGUUGAUCCUGCCAGUAGUCAUAUGCUUG